rnacentral:rRNA from 1 species
AUACGGAGGAUGCAAGCGUUAUCCGGAUUUAUUGGGUUUAAAGGGUGCGUAGGCUGUUCGACAAGUCAGGGGUGAAAGCCCAGUGCCUAACACUGGAACUGCCUUUGAUACUGCCGAGCUGGAAUACGGAUGCCGUGGGAGGAAUGAGUAGUGUAGCGGUGAAAUGCAUAGAUAUUACUCAGAACACCGAUUGCGAAGGCAUCUCACGAAUCCGUCAUUGACGCUGAGGCACGAAAGCGUGGGGAUCAAACAGGAUUAGAUACCCUGGUAGUCCACGCAGUAAACGAUGAUAACUAACCGUCGGCGAUACACAGUCGGUGGCCAAGCGAAAGCGAUAAGUUAUCCACCUGGGGAGUACGUUCGCAAGAAUGAAACUUAAAGGAAUUGACGGGG